UACGAAGGACCCGAGCGUUAUCCGGAUUUAUUGGGUUUAAAGGGUGCGUAGGCGUCCUGGAAAGUUACGGUUGAAAUCUCCUUGCUCAACAAGGAAACUGGCCGUAAAACUAUCAGGAUUGAGUACAUUUGAAGCGGGCGGAAUGUGUCAUGUAGCGGUGAAAUGCAUAGAUAUGACACAGAACACCGAUUGCGAAGGCAGCUCGCUAAACUGUAACUGACGCUGAGGCACGAAAGCGUGGGGAUCAAACAGG
rnacentral:rRNA from 1 species